UAGGGAAUCUUCGGCAAUGGACGAAAGUCUGACCGAGCAACGCCGCGUGAGUGAAGAAGGUUUUCGGAUCGUAAAACUCUGUUGUUUGAGAAGAACAAGGACGUUAGUAACUGAACGUCCCCUGACGGUAUCUAACCAGAAAGCCACGGCUAACUACGUGCCAGCAGCCGCGGUAAUACGUAGGUGGCAAGCGUUGUCCGGAUUUAUUGGGCGUAAAGCGAGCGCAGGCGGUUUCUUAAGUCUGAUGUGAAAGCCCCCGGCUCAACCGGGGAGGGUCAUUGGAAACUGGGAGACUUGAGUGCAGAAGAGGAGAGUGGAAUUCCAUGUGUAGCGGUGAAAUGCGUAGAUAUAUGGAGGAACACCAGUGGAGAAGGCGGCUCUCUGGUCUGUAACUGACGCUGAGGCUAGAAAGCGUGGGGAGCAAACAGG
rnacentral:rRNA from 1 species